rnacentral:sRNA from 1 species
GUCGUGAGAUGUUGGGUUAAGUCCCGCAACGAGCGCAACCCUUGUCAUUAGUUGCUACAUUCAGUUGGGCACUCUAAUGAGACUGCCGGUGACAAACCGGAGGAAGGUGGGGAUGACGUCAAGUCCUCAUGGCCCUUAUGGGUAGGGCUUCACACGUAAUACAAUGGCGCGUACAGAGGGCUGCUAAGCCGCGAGGUAGAGCCAAUCCCUUAAAGCGCGUCGUAGUCCGGAUUGCAGUCUGCAACUCGACUGCAUGAAGUCGGAAUCGCUAGUAAUCGCGGAUCAGCAUGUCGCGGUGAAUACGUUCCCGGGUCUUGUACACACCGCCCGUCACACCAUGGGAGUGGGUUUCACCAGAAGCCGGUCGCUUAACCGCAAGGAUGGCGCCGACCACGGUGAGAUUCAUGACUAGGGUGAAGUCGUAACAAGGUAGCCGUAUCGGAAGGUGCGGCUGGAUCACCUCCUUUCUAGAUCAGCACCUCGCAGUGCCCACCAUCUAUCGGCUGUUACUUCUCCAAGAGAGCGGGUCUGUAGCUCAGUUGGUUAGAGCACCGUCUUGAUAAGGCGGGGGUCGAUGGUUCGAAUCCAUCCAGACCCACCAGACUCUCGCUCUUUAACAAUCUGGGAUUGAAGGUAAAGUUGUUCUCAUUGCGAGAGCGCGUGGAAGUUUCACGUGCUGGAAGCGAUGAGGGCUAACUGGGUUAUGUAUUGCAUCGUGUUCUGCGCCAGAGGAACGGCGUGGAUGCACAAACUUAAGCGUGAGAGUUACCUAUUUCUUUGUGGUGGCUCGCGGCGACUUUGGCCGCGGUCGCUUUCGCUCUAAAGGCGAAGGCAGCAAGGUUAUAGGGUCAAGCGAAUAAGUGCAUGUGGUGGAUGCCUUGGCAAUGAUAGGCGAUGAAGGACGUGACAGCCUGCGAUAAGCUGCGGGGAGCCGGCAAAUGGGCGCUGAUCCGCGGAUUU